rnacentral:rRNA from 1 species
UACGUAGGGCGCAAGCGUUGUCCGGAAUUAUUGGGCGUAAAGAGCUCGUAGGCGGUUUGUCACGUCGGCUGUGAAAACCCGAGGCUCAACCUCGCGCCUGCAGUGGGUACGGGCAGACUAGAGUGCGGUAGGGGAGAUUGGAAUUCCUGGUGUAGCGGUGGAAUGCGCAGAUAUCAGGAGGAACACCGGAUGGCGGAAGGCAGAUCUCUGGGCCGUAACUGACGCUGAGGAGCGAAAGCGUGGGGAGCGAACAGG